AACGAGGCCGACCUGCGGCUGAGUUACCUGCGGAGGGAUCAUUACUGAGGAGGGUCCAUGGCCCGAUCUCCAACCCUUUGAUAAAAACACCAUGUUGCUUUGGCAGGCCCGCCCGUUGGGGCCGCGGGGGAUCGCCGGUCCCUAGCCCGUGCCUGCCGGUAGCCUUCACAAAACUCUCAAAAUGUUGUCGUCUGAGAUGAUUAGAAUAAUAAAACUUUUAACAAUGGAUCUCAGAUCGGA
rnacentral:misc_RNA from 1 species